rnacentral:rRNA from 1 species
UACGUAGGGUGCGAGCGUUAAUCGGAAUUACUGGGCGUAAAGCGUGCGCAGGCGGUUUUGUAAGCCAGAUGUGAAAUCCCCGGGCUUAACCUGGGAAUGGCAUUUGGGACUGCAAGGCUUGAAUGUGGAAGAGGGCAGUAGAAUUCCUGGUGUAGUGGUGAAAUACGUAGAUAUCAGGAGGAAUACCGGUGGCGAAGGCGGCUGCCUGGUCCUACAUUGACGCUGAGAUACGAAAGCGUGGGGAGCAAACAGG